GUUUAAAUAGCUUAUAUUAGAGCAUAACACUGAAGAUGUUAGGGAGAUUUUAGGAUCUUUGGACA
rnacentral:tRNA from 2 species